rnacentral:piRNA from 1 species
UCAUCCUGAAGUCACCCUCUGCAGGCCCAGC